UUUAUCAAUCUACCCCACACAAUACUCACCAAUCACAUGAUGCCACGCCCAAUAACGAAACACAAUAUCCACCCAACAAACACAAACUACUCUAAUCCUGUCAAUUUAUUUUUGAAUCAAUGACAAAAUUUUUAACUUUAUAAAUAAUUUAUAUAUAUAUAUAUACUCGUAAAUAAAUCUGAACCGUUCGAUCAAAUGAUCGGACGGUCUAAAUUUGGGGUUUCAAAUCCGAAUUUUCAAGUACGAAUUUGCCUAGAGGGUAUAUAUAUAUAAGGGUGUUCUUCACCCCACUAUAAACAGGCCUAGAGGUCGAAAAAAAGGAGAAAAAGAUCAAAAAGAGAGAGUAUUGAAAUCUUGAGGUGAGGAGGUAAAGAAAAAGAGUUUGGGUAGAAAAGGGUGAAAGGGGGGUAAAAACAAAGGUUUGAGGUCUUAGAAAAGUGGGGGACUUUGGAGAAGAAGAAUUAAAAAAAAGUAAGUCAUGAAACUACAAGUUUCUAGUUUUCUUAUUUCGUUUUGAAGUCGAAUUCCAGGAAUUUAUAGUCGCCGAAAUUUUUUUACACAUCAAAGCCCCAGUCUUGCUGCACCACACAAGGUGCGAAUCCUUUCUCCAUUCCACUUUUGUGUUCUUUUUCUCCUUCAUCUAUUUCAGUUUUUUGGGGGAACAUGUGAUUUUCUUCCAAUUUCAAGGUUACGUAUUUGUUGUUUUUCUUUAACUUGUGGGCAAAAAUAUAUUUUGGUUCUGGAAGAUUAUUUCGCACAUGAAUAUACAAGUUUGUAAGUAUGUGGAUAUGCAAUCUGUUAUGAUGUUAAAUUGGGUCGUUGAUGUGGGUGUUUGUUUCUUUUCGCCAAUCGGACUCAUGAAUAAUUUUUUUUAGUCCAUAGCAAGUUUUUUUGUGAAAAUAUGGCAGAAAUACGCUUUCUCCUAAAGUUAUUCAUGAUUAGUGUUUUUUUUGUUUCCUUUCGUGGGUCGAAUUGUUGAUGUAUGUGGGGAAAGUUAUGUUUCAUCGUUAAUGAAGAAGGUAGAAUUAUGUUAUGUGAAAUUUGCCCUGUAAGCGUACUUCUAAAUAAAUGGGUUUAACACGAAUUCGUCUUUAUCUUUGUUUGAUAGCUUGAAAUUUGACUAGAGUUACAUACAUUUGGGUGUUGUGUUUUAAAAUAAGGGUGUGGUAUAAUUCAUAUGUUUAGACGUCACAGGUCCUUAAUGGCAUUUGAAAAUCCCUAUGCUAUUCGAAAUAGAUAGUAAAAUAGGUUGAAUAGCUAUCGAUAUUGUACAAUUGGAAAAUAGGCAACAUGAAUUAGGAAAUUAUUGAUGAUAAAGACUUGAGUAGUCAUUUGUUUUUGUUUGGUGAAGAUGAAGAUGACAACGGCAUGUGUAGGUGUAUGUUUAUGACAUUUGAUUGGACCAUUCCUCUCUUUCCAGCAGGAAAAUAAUUGAUUUAGUUUGGUGUUUUUGUGCUGUAUGUUCCACGCAAACCCGAUAUAAAUUCUCUUAUUGUAGGAUUUGUUCAACAUUUGUUAUGGAAUUGUAACAAGAAAUAUGGUUCAAGUUUUAAUAACCUAUAAACUGAUUGAGAUAGUUUACUUGAAAUCAUCUUGCCAUGCACUAUCAACGUCUCAUUUGUUAUACAUUUGGCUGUUUUAGACGUGUGAGGCGUGAUUCUCUACUCCCCGAUCCCAUUUUGUCUCCUAAAUCAUGAUUUUCUUAGCUAUGUUUGAAUUUUCUGCUCCUCGUAUUCGCGAAUAAUAAGUUAUAGGAUCAUCCAUGUGAACUAAUUAAUGAACUAGUAAAUUUUUUCAGACUUGUUUGGCUUUUACAUCCAUAUUAUUUGUCUCCAUAAUUUAGUAAAAAGAUGGCCAAAUACUCUUGAGGUGUUUUGAGAGUUUCUUUGACGCAAACAUACGUUAAAUUGUUGUGGUUCGUGAUUACAGAUUCUGAAAUUUUGGUUACAUGAACUAUUGUACAUCUGUUGCUGCUCCACCUAUUUGCAUUUAUGUAUUGCUGUUAUUUGACAUUUGCUAGUGUUAAGUUAGUACCUAGUUACUUCAAAAUUACUGCAUCGUUUGAUUAGCGUAUCCAUGUAGGAAUCAAAUGUUUUGUCACCUUUGGGUGUUCCGUUUGGUAUUUGGCCAUACUUUUAUUUUCCUUUAGUUAAAACAUAAGGAUUGUUUAGAGCAUUACACCUUGCCCGUUAAUUUAUACUUUUCACCUAUAUUUUUAUUUAAUUACUAAUCUUUAUCUUUGUUUACUUUUAACAUGUAAACUCGAGAGUUGGAGUUCGUCAAUAGAACUCAUUUGGAAUCAAAUAUCAGGUUAACCGCUACCAGGAUCGUAGGACCUCGGAGUCGCGUGAAAUAGAAGUUUAAACUCUUUUAGGAAUCUAGUACCAAUUUAGCCUUUUUCCUUUACUUAUUAUCCUUCGCUUAUCACCCACGUCAUGUUAGAUAGUUCUUGAUACUUGAAAUAACAUUUGAGUGUUCUUAUCCUUGUUGAGAUUGUUUAAAGUAUCAUUAUUUAAUUAUUGUGUUUAUAUUGAUCCAACAUUCGCAAAUUAACUUUAACUGGAUUAACUUUCCCACAUUUUUGCAAAUAAUGCGAUUAGCUAGCUCACUUAUAGACAUUUCGGAUAUGGUUAGCAAAUGUUGAACGAGAUAUAAUUUUACUAUUAUUACUAUCAUUAUUAUUGUUAUUACGGAAAAGGGACAAAUAUACCAUUGAACUAUGAUAAAUGGUAUGUAUAUACCCUCUGUCAUAUUUUGGGUACAUCUAUGCCCCUACUGUUAAUGAAAUGGUACGUAUAUACCCCUCACACUAACGAUAAGGGCAUAUAUAUAUCCAAAGUAUGACAGAGGGUAUAUACGUACCAUUUAUCAUAGUUUGGGGGUAUAUUUUUUUCUUUUUCUUUUUAAUUUUUUAUCUCAAAUCCACUAUUCGACCCAAUAAAUCAACUAUUUGAAUCGGUUCCAAUUAAAAUACAAGAGACGCCUAUCUAAUAGACAUGUUUUUCUCACCCUAUAACGAUAUACACACAUAAUACAGUAACACAAUCAAUUUUCUUUUAAAAAACUAUUAACCAUAACACCCAAAACCAACACCAAAUAAAUUGAACCCCUCAUGUUUUAAUUUUCAGCAAAAUUCAUCGAGAAUACACUAUCCACCAUCGGUCAACACCACAUAGCCACCGUCACCGUCUUCAUCGAACCAAAAAAACCCCAACGCCAAACCAUUGUUGCACCCCUAGCUCCGGUUACCUUCAGCUUAAUCUCCACUCCCUCGAACCAGUAAACACCAACUAGUUGCAGCACCCAAUCCACUGAAAUUUGAUUGGUAUUCAUAUUUAAGAGAAAAACAGAGGAAAUAUCGGGUUUGAAACAAAAAAUAGAGGUUCGAUCGAGUUGGCUUAAAAUAGGGUACAAUGGGUUUAUUUGGUUGGGUAGCGGGUUUGGGAUAAUUAUUUGGAAUAAAAAAUUAAAACUGAAAAGGAACAAAUAUAUCCUGAACUAUUAUAAAUGGUACGUAUAUACCCUCCGUCACACUUUGGGGUACACAUAUGCCCUUACCGUUAAAGUGAGAGGCAUAUACGUACCAUUUCAUUAACGACAGGGGUAUAUGUGUACCCAAAAUAUGACGAAGGGUAUAUACGUACCUUUUAUUAUUAUUAUUAUAAUAUUAUCACUUUCAUUAUUAUUAUUACUACUACUAUUAUUAUUAUUACUGCUAUUAUAUUUAUUAGUAUAUUAUUAUUAUUAUUAUUAUUUAUUAUUAUUAUUAUUAUUAUUGUUGUUGUUAUUACUGUUAGAUUGUUUCUACUUUAUUAUAUCUAUGGACUUUAGUAUCACAAUUAUUUCCCAGUUAGAUCAAUCUAAAUCUAUUUGAAUUUCACAAAUCAAAGUGGAUUCUUACAUCAAUUUUUUCAUAUAUUUCUAAAUAGUCAUAUAUUUACAACAACAACAACAACAACAAACCCAGUAUAUUCCCACCUAGUGGGGUCUGGAGAGGAUAGAGUAUACACAGUCCAUACCACUACCUCUAAGGAAGUAGAGAUGUUAUUUCCGAUAGACCCCCAGCUCAAGAUAAAAGGCAAUAUACAAAAGCAUAGAACACGAUAAAAUAACAUAGGUAUGGCAUCUACAAAAAAUUUGUACGUUGUCAAACAAAGGACACCAAAGUCCACCUAAAUACUGCCUACGACUCCUCCACACCCUUAUCCCUCUAUCCUAAUGCUUUUCCUCCACAUCUUUCUAUCCAGGGUCAUGUCCUCAGUCAGCUGUAACUGCUCCAUGUCACAUUUAAUCACUUCUCUCCAGUAUUCCUUCGGCCUACCCCUACCCCGUUUGAAACCUCCCAAGGCCAACCUCUCACACAUACGAACUGGGGCAUCCGUGCCUCUCCUCAUCGCAUGACCGAAUCAUGUCAACCUCACUUCCCGCAUUUUAUCCUCCACUGACACCACUCCUACCUUCUCUCAAAUAAUUUCAUUCCUAACCCUAUCAGCCCUUGUGAAUCCACACAUCCAAUGCAACAUCCUUGUUUCCGCCACCUUUUGGAUAUGAGAAUUCUUAAUCGGCCAACACUCUGCUCCAUACAACAUAGCAGGCCGGACUGCAACUCUAUAGAAUUUGCCUUUCACCUUGGGGGGCACCUUCCUAUCGCAUAAAAUUCUCGAAGUGAGCCUCCAUUUCAUCCAACCUGCCCCAACAUGGUGAGAGACAUCCUCAUUUAUCUCUCCAUUUUCCUGAAUCAUAGACCCAAGAUACUUAAAAUUAUCCCUCUUGCAAACCGCCUGAGAAUCCAACUUCACUACCACCCCCCCCUCUUUCCUCCAGUCACUAAACUUGCACUCCAAGUACUCUGUCUUGGUCCUACUCAACCUGAAACCUUUAGACUCCAGGGUUUGUCUCCAAACCUCCAACUUAUUAUUAACCCUUUAUCGCGACUCAUCAAUUAGAACUAUAUCAUCUGCGAAAAGCAUACACCAAGGCACCUCGCCUUGUAUAUUUCGCUUCAACACAUCCAUCACCAAAGCGAAUAAAAAUGGACUAAGAGUUGAUCCCUGGUGCAACCCUGUCAAAGACCUGGAAGUGCUCAGAAUCUCCUCUCACUGUCUUUACCCGAGCAUUUGCUCCCUCAUACAUGUCCUUAAUCGCUCUGAUGUAGGCCACCGGGACCCCCUCGCCUCCAACCUUCUCUAAAGAACCUCCCUACGGACCUUAUCAUACGCCUUUUCCAAGUCAAUAAACACCAUGUGAAGAUCCCUCUCCCUCUCUCUGUACUGCUCUACCAGUAUCCGCACACGGUGAAUUGCCUCAGUCGUGGAGCGACCAGGCAUAAAACCAAAUUAAUCCUCCAAAAUAGGCACAAUCUUUCUCAACCUCCGCUCUACCACCCUCUCUCAAAUCUUCAUCGUGUGACUCAAUAACUUGAUAUCCCGAUAGUUGUUGCAACUCUGAAUAUCACCCUUGUUCUUAUAUAAAGGAAUCAUCGUGCUCCAUCUCCACGCCUCAGGCAUCUUUACUGAGUUGAAAAUAUUGUUAAAUAAGUUGGUCAACCACCUCAACCCUAACCUGCCAGAGAACUUCCAAAAAUCCACCGAAAUCUCAUCGAGCCCCGUCGCCCUUCCUCUUUGCAUCUUGCGAAUAGCCUCACUAACCUCAUUUACCUUAAAACGCUGACAAAAGCCAAGUCGCGACACUCUUCGGAAUGCUCCAACUCCCUUAACACAACACCCCUAUCCCCCCCAUCAUUCAAGAGCUUAUAGAAAUAGGACUGCCAUAUUUUCUUAAUGAGGUCGUCUUCCACCAAAACUUUGUCAUCCUCCCCCUUAAUGCACUUCACCUGGUCCAGAUCACGUCCCUUCCGCUUCCUAACCUUGGCAAGCCUAAACAUCCUUUCUCCCCGCCUUUCUUCUCUAACCCCUUAUACAAACUUUCAAAAACUGCUGUCUUAGCAGCCGUGACUGCUAACUUAGCCUCCUUUUUUGCUAACUUGUACUCCUCCCUGCUCACCCGCUUCUGUUCUUCAUCCUUACUCUCAACCAACUUAGUGUAAGCUGCCUUCUUCAUCUCGACCUUCUUCUUAACAUUACUCAUAUAUUUACGUUUGUCUUACAUAAGUUCUUUCACACUUUAAUAUAUUUUCUUUUAAUUUAGGAUAAAUUUUAUUCAUAUAUUCAACUCCAUGCAUUUAAAUAUAAUAGGGUUUUUAUACUUUUUAUAUUAUUACAAUUAUAAAAACAAAAAAGACUAUUUUUUCCAUAUUUUAAGAUAUUCAUACAUAUAUUUUACAAUAAUCAUAUUACUUCCUCGUACAUGAUAGCAUCACACUUUCUAUACUUUAAGUUUUCUUUUUAAAAAAGAUAAAUAAUAAAAUAACAAUGUUUUUUCAUCACUGUUUUUAGAAAAUAACAAAGCAAUUACUUCUUUUCAAAUAUUUUUCUAAACUGAGUCUAAGGACUAUCUUCAGAUAGGCUCUGUGAGGUGCUUAACACCUUUCCCUCGAGUAACCAAAACUCUUACUCGGAAUCUCAAAAUGUUUUGAAAGACCAAAACAGAGUUUCACACAAAAAUGUUUUUUCUUAAAAAAUUUAGGUGGCGACUCUAAAGAAUGAAUUUUUAACAUUCGAGAGUCAUAAUGACCACCACAUGUUGUGUUCUAUUCGCUUGGUUCAAAAUAGGGCACGAAAGAGUGCAUGUGGAUAUUUAUUCAGACUAUAAAAGCUUGCAGUAUGUGUUUAUGCAGAAGAAAUUGAAUCUUAGGCAGAGGCGGUGGCUCGAAUUGCUUAAGAAUUAUGACAUAAAUUUACACUACCAUUCAGGUAAAGCUAAUGUUGUUGUUGAUGCUCUUAGCAGGUUGUCCUGGGGCGCCUAUCUCAAGUUGAUGAAGAGAAAAAAUGAUUAGUGAAGGAUAUUCACAUGUUGGCUAACUUGGGAGUUCAUCUUUUGGACACUGAGGAUGGAGGAGUGGUUG
rnacentral:lncRNA from 1 species